UACAGAGGUCUCAAGCGUUGUUCGGAUUCAUUGGGCGUAAAGGGUGCGCAGGCGGGCCAUUAAGUCAGGGGUGAAAGACGGUAGCUCAACUAUCGCAGUGCCCUUGAUACUGAUGGGCUUGAAUGUACUAGAGGUAGGCGGAAUGUGACAAGUAGCGGUGAAAUGCAUAGAUAUGUCACAGAUCACCAAUUGCGAAGGCAGCUUACUAUGGUAUUAUUGACGCUGAGGCACGAAAGCGUGGGGAUCAAACAGG
rnacentral:rRNA from 1 species